ensembl:lncRNA
UAUAUAAGGUAGCAUUUCAUCGAUCAUGGGGGACAACAAUAAAAGCGGGAUCAUGGUUACAUGGAGAGGCAGGUAGCCUAGUGGUUAGAGUGUAGGGGAGGUAGGUAUCCUAGUGGUUAGAGUGUAGGGGAGGCAGGUAGCCUAGUGGUUAGAGUGUAGGGGAGGCAGGUAGCCUAGUGGUUAGAGUGUAGGGGAGGCAGGUAGCCUAGUGGUUAGAGUGUAGGGGAGGCAGGUAGCCUAGUGGUUAGAGUGUAGGGGAGGCAGGUAGCCUAGUGGUUAGAGUGUAGGGGAGGCAGGUAGCCUAGUGGUUAGAGUGUAGGGGAGGCAGGUAGCCUAGUGGUUAGAGUGUAGGGGAGGCAGGUAGCCUAGUGGUUAGAGUGUAGGGGCGGCAGGUAUCCUAGCGGUUAGAGUGUAGGGGAGGUAGGUAUCCUAGUGGUUAGAGUGUAGGGGCGGCAGGUAUCCUAGUGGUUAGAGCGUUGG